GUAAGGAAUAUUGGUCAAUGGACGAAAGUCUGAACCAGCCAUGCCGCGUGGAGGAUGAAGGUCCUCUGGAUUGUAAACUUCUUUUAUAUGGGACGAAAAUGGGGCUUUCUAGCUCAACUGACGGUACCAUAUGAAUAAGCACCGGCUAACUCCGUGCCAGCAGCCGCGGUAAUACGGAGGGUGCAAGCGUUAUCCGGAUUCACUGGGUUUAAAGGGUGCGUAGGUGGAUUGGUAAGUCAGAGGUGAAAUCUCCGGGCUCAACUCGGAAACUGCCUUUGAUACUAUCAAUCUUGAAUAUUGUGGAGGUUAGCGGAAUAUGUCAUGUAGCGGUGAAAUGCUUAGAUAUGACAUAGAACACCAAUUGCGAAGGCAGCUGGCUACACAUAUAUUGACACUGAGGCACGAAAGCGUGGGGAUCAAACAGGAUUAGAUACCCGAGUAGUCC
rnacentral:rRNA from 1 species